rnacentral:rRNA from 1 species
UGAUNCNCCGUUUCGGUGUCCGAUUUAGCNUGCGAGUCGUGCGGGUUCAGACCCGNGGCGAACUGCUCAGUAACACGUGGCCAAGCUACNCUCUGGACACGGAUAACCUCGGGAAACUGAGGCUAAUCCGCGAUAUCGCUUCCGAGCUGGAGUGCUGGAAGCGAGAAACGCUNCGGCGCCGGAGGAUGCGGCUGCGGCCGAUUAGGUAGACGGUGGGGUAACGGCCCACCGUGCCGAUAAUCGGUACGGGUUGUGAGAGCAAGAGCCCGGAGACGGACUCUGAGACAAGAGUCCGGGCCCUACGGGGCGCANCAGGCGCGAAACCUUUACACUGCACGCCAGUGCGAUAGGGGGACACCGAGUGCGAGGGCAUAGAGCCCUCGCUUUUCCGUACCGUAAGGUGGUACGGGAACAAGGGCUGGGCAAGACCGGUGCCAGCCGCCGCGGUAACACCGGCAGCCCGAGUGAUGGCCGAUAUUAUUGGGCCUAAAGCGUCCGUAGCCGGCCGGUGAGGUCCGUCGGGAAAUCCACUCGCUCAACGAGUGGGCGUCCGGCGGAAACCCUUCGGCUUGGGACCGGGAGACCGAAGGGGUACGUUCGGGGUAGGAAUGAAAUCCCGUAAUCU